rnacentral:rRNA from 1 species
AAACUGGAGAGUUUGAUUCUGGCUCAGAAUGAACGCUAGCGGCACACUUAAUACAUGCAAGUCGAAUGUCUUGUUCAGAAAAGAACUUGGUCAUGGCGAACGGGUGCGUAAUACAUGAAAAUCUACCUUUAAGUUGAGGAUAACUAGAUAUGCCUUAGGGUGUAGAAGUAAGUAGCCUGAGGUUACUUGCCUAGCAAUACUGAAUGACUUACUUAAUUCAAGUAAGAAAGAUCCAAAAAUAGAUCGCUUAAAGAUGAGUUCAUGCAGGACUAGGUAGUUGGUAAAGUAAAAGCUUACCAAGCCUGCGAUCCUUAGCUGAUCUGAAAGGAUGAUCAGCCACACUGGAAAUGAGAGACGGUCCAGACUUCUACGGAAGGCAGCAGUAAGGAAUCUUGGACAAUGAGCGAAAGCUUGAUCCAGUGAUGCCGCGUGAGUGAUGAAGGCGCUUUUGUCGUAAAACUCUUUUAUCAGGGAGAAAGAUGAUCGUACCUGAGGAAAAAGCCCUGGCUAAUUUCGUGCCAGCAGCCGCGGUAAUACGAGAAGGGCUAGUGUUAUUCCUAUUGAUUUGGCGUAAAGGGUGUGUAGGCGGUUUGGUAAGUUGGAGGUGAAAUCCCCAGGAAUAACCUGGGAACUGCUUUGAAUACUGCUAAACUAGAGUCAAAGAGAGGUUGAUAGAAUUUCUAUUGUAAGGAUAAAAUCUGUAGAUAAUAGAAGGAAUCUCAAAAGCGAAGGCAAUCAACUGGCUUUGAACUGACGCUGAGACACGAAAGUGUGGGGAGCAAACCGGAUUAGAUACCCGGGUAGUCCGCACUGUAAACGAUGAAUAUUAAAUAUUGGGAACCCAUGAUGGUUCUCAGUGUUGUAGCUAACGCGUUAAAUAUUCCGCCUGGGAAGUAGAAUCGCAAGAUUGAAACUCAAAGAAAUUGGCGGGAGCUUGAACAAGCGGCGGAGCAUGUGGUUUAAUUCGAAACAACGCGCAAAACCUUACCAGUUCUUGACUAUGUAGUUCUUUAAGCAUUUCUCUUCGGGAGAUUGUUGAACUAUAAACAGGUGUUGCAUGGCUGUCGUCAGCUCGCGUUGUGAAAUGUAGCGUUAAGUCGUAUUUAGCGAGCGCAACCCUCAUCUUUUGUUUCCUAAUUUCAACAUCACUCUUUGAUUGGCACCUUUUUUGGUGCAGAAGUUUACUUCUAACUACUUACGUAGUUCUUCUUAGAUAUCAUGAAAUGGACUCUUAAGAAACUGCCAGUGAGAAACUGGAGGAAGGAGAGGAUGACGUCAAGUCCGCAUGACCCUUAUGAACUGGGCUACACAUGUGCUACAAUGGUGGAGACAAAGGGAAGCAAUGAUGCAAGUCGGAGCAAAUCCUCAAACUCCAUCUCAGUUCAGAUUGUUCUCUGCAACUCGAGAACAUGAAGUCGGAGUCGCUAGUAAUCGUAGAUCAGCACGCUACGGUGAAUACGUUCUCAAGCUUUGUACACACUGCCCGUCAUGUCCUGAAAAUUCGUUCUAUCUGAAGCUGUAUCUCUAACCUUGGUAGAGUUGAAGUACUUACUUGCAUACUUAGUUCUUGUAAGCUCUUCUCCAAAAGGAGGAAUGCAAUUAAGAUAGGGUAAAUAAUUGGGAUGAAGUCGUAACAAGGUAGCCGUACGGGAACGUGUGGCUGGAUCAAUUCCCUU